rnacentral:rRNA from 1 species
AGUGAACGCUGGCGGUAGGCCUAACACAUGCAAGUCGAACGGCAGCACAGUAAGAGCUUGCUCUUACGGGUGGCGAGUGGCGGACGGGUGGGGAAUACAUCGGAAUCUACUUUUUCGUGGGGGAUAACGUAGGGAAACUUACGCUAAUACCGCAUACGACCUACGGGUGAAAGCAGGGGAUCUUCGGACCUUGCGCGAUUGAAUGAGCCGAUGUCGGAUUAGCUAGUUGGCGGGGUAAAGGCCCACCAAGGCGACGAUCCGUAGCUGGUCUGAGAGGAUGAUCAGCCACCCUGGAACUGAGACACGGUCCAGACUCCUACGGGAGGCAGCAGUGGGGAAUAUUGGACAAUGGGCGCAAGCCUGAUCCAGCCAUACCGCGUGGGUGAAGAAGGCCUUCGGGUUGUAAAGCCCUUUUGUUGGGAAAGAAAAGCAGCAGGUUAAUACCCCGCUGUUCUGACGGUACCCAAAGAAUAAGCACCGGCUAACUUCGUG